rnacentral:ncRNA from 2 species
ACUGACUCAACGGGGUGCUAUGACGCAAAUAGUCAGGCUGAGAAAAAACCCGUCGAACCUGAUCCGACUAAUAUCGGUGUAGGGAUUUGAGCGAUGUACCUGC